UACGAAGGGGGCUAGCGUUGUUCGGAAUUACUGGGCGUAAAGCGCACGUAGGCGGAUACUUAAGUCAGGGGUGAAAUCCCGGGGCUCAACUCCAGAACUGCCUUUGAUACUGAGGACCUUGAGUUCGGGAGAGGUGAGUGGAACUGCGAGUGUAGAGGUGAAAUUCGUAGAUAUUCGCAAGAACACCAGUGGCGAAGGCGGCUCACUGGCCCGAUACUGACGCUGAGGUGCGAAAGCGUGGGGGAGCAAACAGG
rnacentral:rRNA from 1 species